AGAGUUUGAUCAUGGCUCAGAACGAACGCUGGCGGCGUGGAUAAGACAUGCAAGUCGAGCGGGAUUUUUUCUUGUAGCAAUACGAGGAAAAGUCUAGCGGCGAACGGGUGCUUAACACGUGGGCAACCUGCCAUGAAGUGGGGGGAUAGCUCGUCGAAAGGCGAAUUAAUACCGCAUGUGAUUAGAGUGGACAUCCAUUCAAAAUUAAAGUCGGGGCAACCUGACGCUUCUUGUGGGGCCCGCGGCCUAUCAGCUAGUUGGUGAGGUAACGGCCCACCAAGGCUUUGACGGGUAGCUGGUCUGAGAGGACGACCAGCCACACUGGGACUGAGACACGGCCCAGACACCUACGGGUGGCAGCAGUCGAGAAUUUUUGACAAUGGGGGAAACCCUGAUCGAGCGACGCCGCGUGGAGGAUGAAGGUCUUCGGAUUGUAAACUCCUGUCAUUGGGGAACAAUGCACAGAUAUUAACUGUAUUUGUGUUGAUAGUACCCGAAGAGGAAGAGACGGCUAACUCUGUGCCAGCAGCCGCGGUAAUACAGAGGUCUCAAGCGUUGUUCGGAUUCAUUGGGCGUAAAGGGUGCGUAGGCGGCGCGGCAAGUCGGGUGUGAAAUCUCGGGGCUUAACUCCGAAACUGCAUCCGAUACUGCCGCGCUUGAGGACUGGAGAGGAGACUGGAAUUUACGGUGUAGCGGUGAAAUGCGUAGAUAUCGUAAGGAAGACCAGUGGCGAAGGCGGGUCUCUGGACAGUUCCUGACGCUGAGGCACGAAGGUCAGGGGAGCAAACGGGAUUAGAUACCCUAGUAGUCC
rnacentral:rRNA from 1 species